UUUCUCCCUCUCUCGCCCGAAGCUCCAUCUCCACCAUUCGAGUUUCACAAUGGUCGCUUCUAGUAUUCCGCCAUCUCCACCGCCUCGCAUCGGCUUCUCCGGCCCUCAGACGUAACUCUUCCAGUUCCUCCCACGGGGAAAAGCUUUCUGAGUCGUGCCGAUAGCUCUGCGGUUCCAGCCUCGACUCGUCUUGAAUUUCCUGCAUUCCCUUGAAGCUUCUCAAUCUCACUCGAACUGGAGCCAAUCGUAGCCAAGCGCCUCCCUCGCUCGACAACUUCAUUAUCGUUCGUUUUUGUCACUGCCUUCUCCUUCGGUUUCUGUCAUCUUCGUUCCCCGACGGAGGAGAAUCGCCGUGACUGAAACUCGAUCAGAAUUGGAUUCUUCGCUUCGAGCUCUUCAUCAUUCGGUUACUGCAACAAUUUUGAAGGUAAGCUGUCUCUCAUUCUAUGGAUUUCAUUUUACAAUUCAGUCAAUAGCAUCGAUUCUCGGUCUUUUUUCUGAAUUUCCAGAGACCUCUUCAUCCAAAUUUCUUCUCUAUUGCCCUCCGGACACUGUCGGCCACUGCCAACCUCAACCAAUCGUCACCGUUCCCAUUUCCAUGGCCACCGUCGGAAGCUCUUUCCGCCCCUGUUCUCGGUCGGUCACCAUUGCUGAAGUGCUCGGACUGUGGUCACCACUCUCUCACGACGGUUCCAGUUCAUGAAGCUGCUUCUAUAAUCACCUUAUUGAGGUCCGAUCGUUAAUCGUCACAGGUAAUCAUCCUUUAUUCAAUCGAAUCACAUAUGCUGUGUGUCCAGUUGCUCUACGUACAGACUACUGCAUGGGUAAAAUCUACUAAUUGCUUUGUGAUCAUCUCGUUCACAUGACUGAACUGUAUUGAUAUGCAUAUUUGAGGUUGAGGUGCUUUUCUUUAUCUUCAUAUCAGAAUUGUGCAGUGCGUGCUUGAGC
rnacentral:lncRNA from 1 species